rnacentral:rRNA from 1 species
UACGAAGGGGGCUAGCGUUGUUCGGAAUUACUGGGCGUAAAGCGCGCGUAGGCGGCUCGGAAAGUCGGUCGUGAAAUGCCGGGGCUCAACCCCGGGACUGCGUCCGAUACUCCCGAGCUGGAGGCAGGUAGGGGAGAUCGGAAUUCCUGGUGUAGCGGUGAAAUGCGCAGAUAUCAGGAGGAACACCGGUGGCGAAGGCGGAUCUCUGGGCCUUGCCUGACGCUGAGGCGCGAAAGCUAGGGGAGCGAACAGG